GCAACAACACCAACAAACAGAUUUGGGGAGGAAGAGAGCUCUCUAACCCUCAUCAAACCUUCCAACCACCAUAACUUCCCCGUUUGAGUUCCGAUCGCCGCACCGUUCGCGGCUACGCGUCUAGCGCGUCGAGCUCUACACUUCUGUCGGAUCAAUUUCACCGGUUCGAUUUAGCUUGCGGAGCUUAUUGGGUUUGAGUUGCUACGCGUGUGGGUGCGGUGUGAAUUAAGUUUAUAUACAUGCAUUGGAAUUGAAAAGUAAGCAUUUGGAGGCUUGGUGGUGAUUGGAGCUAAGAUUUUGAUUGGUUUCUCAAAGCUUGAGGGGCCGUGUUGUGACUUGUAAGGCUACCUUGGUCCAAACGCGGUGAUCGGCCAAUGCAUUGUUUAGGUUUCGCGCGUUUAACAUAUAAGGUUUUGUGAAAACUUAGGCUAGGGAACCAUAGGUUAAGUUGAAAUGGUUAAAUACAUUAAAUGAUUAGUUUUGUGAUGAUGUUGAAUAAAUUGAUGAUUGAGUUUGUGUUGGAAUUUAUGAGUAUG